AUUAUUCCGCAGACAAUGGACGGAAACACAUCGAGUAGCAGCGUCUGGUGGGCCGACCAUGGCGCUGGCCGAGAUUCUCGGCUUCGGCGUCUCAGGGAACGCUUAUGGUCGGCCCACUCGCCGGGAAAGACGCUUCUGUUAAAAUGGCUACUGUGGUAUCAUCGAGCCGCCUGUGCGAUAGCAACCCGGCAACUCCGGGAGCGCGGUCGGGCAGGGAAGAUGCUGAAGAGACUUCAAAUGAUGACUCUGGAAGUCAGGCUCCCAAGCGCAGGCGCAUGGGAUCUGGAGAUAGCUCAAAAAGCAGUGACACCACUCAAGACUUCAGAGAUGUUGACGGAGUAUAAAUGGCCAGGUGAUGAUACAGGAGAAUAUUACAUGCUUCAGGAACAAGUUAGUGAAUACUUAGGCGUGACUUCGUUCAAGCGAAAAUAUCCAGAUCUGGAACGACGUGAUUUAUCGCACAAAGAGAAGCUUUACCUCAGAGAGAUGAAUGUCAUCACAGAAACACAGUGCACCUUGGGCUUAACUGCUUUGAGAAGUGAUGAAGUUAUUGAUCUGAUGAUCAAGGAAUAUCCAACCAAGUACGCUGAAUAUGCAGUGGUUCUUCAGGAAAGAGAGCGGCAGCAGAUCACCGACCGAUACAAGGAAUAUUCGGUUUUAUAUUUGAACCAAACUUGUGACUCUGCACAGCAAUUGCAGCUACAGAACACACAGAAGGUUGAGCCCAGUAAAGUGCCGGAGUACAUCAAGAAAGCUGCAAAGAAAGCCGCAGAGUUCAACAGCAACUUCAACAGGGAGCGAAUGGAGGAAAGGCGGGCUUACUUUGACUUGCAGACACAGGUAAUCCAGGUGCCACAAGGGAAAUACAAAGUUCUUCCACCUGAGAGGACGAAGGUUGGGGCUUAUCCAGUGGCUCUCAUACCAGGACAAUUUCAGGAAUAUUACAAAAGAUACUCUCCCAAUGAACUGCGUUACCUUCCUGUAAACACAGCCUUGUACGAACCUCCUUUGGACCCAGAAUUGCCAGCGCCUGAUAGUGAUGGAGAUUCUGAUGAUGCAGAAGAUGGGCAUGGUGAGGACGAGCGGAAAGAAGACAAAGGCUUUUCGGAUACAUCUUCUGGGAGUACAACGGGUGGAGAGAGUCCGACUGAACAUCAAGACGACUCAUCACAGGGAAAGCAUACACCAAAAGAAAGAGGACCACGAGCACUGAAAGAUGCAAAACGCAGUGUAACACCCAAAUCAGUUACUGGGUACAAGGUAGAAGAUAAGAGCCCCUGAGACUUCCUUUCUGAUGAACCUUUUGCUGAUUUUUAUUUUGUUCUGGGUAGAAUGGGUCAGCCUGUAUUAGCCUGAGUCCACUAAUGCAUCUUCUGCGUUCUGCUUCCUUACCUUAAUACUGUUUUGUUCUACCUGAGGCUUACUGGUGAAGCUGAUUGCAUUCUUUCUCCUAUUGGACUGUAGUAGGCUUGUGUUUUACCCAACUGGAGCUUGCUAUACUCUUUCUGCUGAAGCUGCUGCUCUCUUAGUCCCUGUGUACAAUGUGACAGAUUUAAUUACUAACAUUACAGUUAUUUGAUUCUAUUGAUAAAGAGGGUACUUUGUAUAAAAGGUCAAAGUUGUAUUUUUGACAACAUUUUUGAAAUGCAAAUGUUUUUACUUUACAUUGUCACAUAGCUUGGCAGUUUGGCAUGUUUCUCCAGCUUCACAAAUUUCCCUUGGGCGUUUUAGGUUGGCGUAUUUCAUGUAAGUCAAUGUUCGUGGAGAACAAUUUGUUUUGGAGUGAAGUAGCAGAAGUUGGACUUCUGGCACCGUUAGGUUGUCGGAUUCAGGUUGACUGGCACUUGGACUACAACCAAAGCACGUUGUACACUGAAGCAUUCAGAGACCAUAAAUUCAGAUUGGCAGCUUGUGGUUUGGUUAAACAAUACUGGAUUGACCCUCCUUGCUAAAAAAUGUUCCAUUGAAACCAUACUUUAGAAACAUUACUGCCCUUUGAGUCUUCAGAGAAUAAUCACUACAUAGUAUGUGUAAGUGAGGAUUCAAUUCAUGGUUAAGUUUAAUCGUUCACUGCAGUCAUGGUAUUGGUCUGCUUGCUGAAGGGCUUGAAGUUAAAUCCAGAUCAUAUGUUAAUGCCUCUCGUACUUGAGUCUGGAACGUUGUUGCAAAACCAUUGGCAGCUUUACAGAAGAUUGAACAUUUUUAAGGGCCUCGAGGCAGUACAACAAUCAGGAUAAUCAUUUUGCAGGCAUUGAAAGCCAUUGUGAAAUGAAACUAGUUACCAAAUGGUUCAGGUGUUUCAGUGCCAGUGUUCGAAGCUGCUUUCAUGUUAACGUCUCAGCAUCUUGAGUGUUGAUCAGAAAGUGGGAGGUAAUGAAUAAGACUAGGUAUGGUCAUCAGGUUAUCUCAUUGUGAGGCUGUUAUCUGUAGCCCAGAAUGAGGUUACUUGGAAAUAUUUUCCAAGGAGUAUUUAUCAUUUUCAAAGGUGCCAAGGUCAAGAUUUGCAAAGGAAGAUUAACUGCUUUUAGCAUUAUGGUGUUCAUUAAUGUAAAUGGAUUAUUGAAAAUGUCCAUACAUUACAGCAACCUCUAGAAUAUGACUUAAUAUCAAGGAAAGAAGAUAUUGAAUCUGUUAAUAUAUAUUCUGUGUAUUACUCGAAAUGCAGAUGGAUCUCUGCCACAGCAAAGUUAGCCAUGUCUGUGUCUUGCUGAGCCCAUUGUACUGUCUCCCUCCUUCCUUAGGUUUUCCGUAUUUGAUUGCAAGGCUGAUCCACAAGGGCCAGUAUGAGUUAGAGCUUUAGUUUCAGUAGCCUGAGGCUGGGAGAGGGCAGGAGGGGACCAACUGAUAGUAGAGAGGGCAACGUGUCCAAUAGAGACCUCCCUAUUCCAGGCAAUAACCUUUGAAUAGCAGAUUGAAUUAUAAGCACAGAAACACCAUCUCCUAAUUUGUCCACGGUACCUAUUAAUUCCCACUUGCCUGUGUUUGGCCCAAUUCCCUCUAAACCAAGGGAUCCCAACCUGGGGUCAGUGGACCCCUUGGUUAAUGGUGUCGGUCCAUGGAACAAAAACGGUGGGAAGCCCUGCUCUGAACCAUUCCCAUCCACGUACCUGUCAGCAUUUCUUUUAAAGGCUGUACUGCCUCUACCACUUCCUCUGAGAGCUCAUGUUGUACACCAGCCACCCUCUGUGUGGAUAAGACUGCCCCUUUAAUUCUUUACCCCUCCACCUUAACCUAAGCUCUAUUAGCCUGAGAAGGGGACAAUAUCUACCUCACCCAUGUUUCUAAUAAUGUAAGAAGCCUCUCGAAGGUCACCCCUCAGCUUUCUUUGCUCUGGGGAAACAAACACAGCCUACUUAGUCUCUCCUUAAAACUCAAACUGUCCAGUCCAGCCAACAUUCCUGUGAAUCUUUUCUAAAACAAACCCACCCUAUACAGUCUCUCCUUAAAACUCCAACUCUCUAGUCCAGCCAUUUUCCUGAAUAAAUGUCUCAGCCCAAAACGUCAACUUGUUUACUUUUUUCUGUAGAUUCUGCCAGACCUGCUGAUUUCCACCAGUAUUUUGUGUGUGUUGCAACAGUCCCGUGAAUCUUUUCUGAAACAAACCCAGUGUGUUCAGUCUAUUCCUGUGAAUCCCUGUGAAUCUUUUCUGAAUCUCUAUCUGCAUAAUCACAUCCUUUCCAAACAUAAUAAGGUGUGGCCUAAUCAGCAAUUUGCACAGCUGCCAUGUGACCACCACCUCUAGUACUGAACGGUUUGGCCAAAAAAGGCAAGCAUUUUGCACCCCUUCCUCACCUGCUCUGUCUAUUUGGGAUGCCACUUUUAAGGGACUGUAUAUUUGUACCCAAAGGUCUCUUCUCAAUAGUGUUCUCCAGGGCCCUCUGUUAACUAAUACAAGAGAUUCUACAGAUGCUGGAGAGCUUGAGAAACAGACACAAAAUGCUGGAGGAACUCAGCAGGUCGGGUAGCAUCUAAGGAAGGGAAUAAACAGUCAACGUUUUGGGCCAGGACCCAUCAUUUAGACUGGAAAGGAAGGGAGCAGAAGCCAGAAUAAGAAGGUGGGAGGAGAGGAAGGAGUACAAACUGGCAAGUGAUAGGUGAGACUAAGUGAAGGGAAAGUGGGAUGAAAUGAGGAGCUGGGAAGUGAUGAGUCGAAGAGUUAAAGGGCUGAAGAAGGAGGAAUCUGAUAGGGGAGGACAAUGGACUGGGAAAGAAAGGGAAGGGGGAGUGGCAUCAGAAGGAACUGAUGGGUAUUUGAGGAGAAGGGGUGAGAGGGGAACCAGAAUGGGGAAUGGAAGAAGAAAGAAGAAGGGAUGGUGGAGAAAUUACCAGAAGUUAAAUAAAUCGAUGUUCAUGCCAUCAAGUUGGAGGCUGUCCAGACGGAAUGUGAGUUGUUGCUCCUCAAACCUGAGAUUGGCCUCAUUGUAGCAGUGGAGGAGAACAUUGACAGACAUGUCAGAAUAGGAAUGGAAAGUAAAAUUUAAAUGGGUCAGUAGUCAUCAUUUCUGUUCUCCACACUUGCCCACCAUCAUCUCCCCCUGUUUCACCUACUCCCCUUUCUUCCCUGGUCCAUGGCCCUCGCCUAUCAGAUUCCUUUUUCUUCAACCCUUUACCUCUUCCACUUAACCACAAACCAAUGACAUAUCCAAUUUGUUAUCUCACCCUGAAUCCUAAAUAUUCUAACCUUCUGAACCAGCCAGUUGUGUGGGAAGUUGUCAAAAGCCCUGCAAUGGUCCUUGUAGACAACAUCCAUUGUCCUCUUUGUCGCCUCCUUGAAGAAGGUCAAUCAAAUUUGUAAGACCUGAUCUCCAACAACCAAAGACAUGCUAUCACUAACCAAUCCUUGUCUUAGAACUAAGAAUAAAUCCUAUCACUUACAGUAACUUUCCCAGCACUGGUAUAAGGCUCAGCAGUUCCUUGGCUUGUCCUUGAUGCCCUUCUUAAAGGCACAACAUUGGCCAUCCUCCAGACUUGUGGUCUUUCCUAUGACAAACGAAGAUACAAAAAUCUCUUCCAAGGCCCCAGCAAUCUCCUCCCUUGCUUCCCAUAGUAUCCUAGGAUUUAUCCACCUUUAUGAACUUCAAGAUCACCUUCCUUUGUACUGUUGACAAGUUUCAGGAUGUCACUCUACUUUUCCCUACCUUCUUUGUCUUUCUCCACAGUAAAUGGUAAAAAGACCUCAAGAUUUCAUCCAUUUUCUGUGUCUUCACCGAUCGGUUACCACAUUGAUUUUUGAGGAGACUUGCUCUCUUUCCAGGUACCUUUUUGCUCUUAAUUUACACAGAAUCUUUUAGAAUUCUCCAUCAUCUUAUCUGCCAAGGAUAUUCCAUGUCCUCUUUUAGCCCUGCUACACUGUAAGCAUACUCCUACGUUCUUUGUAGUCAAGGGAUUUGCUUGAUCCCAACUUCCCAUUCAUGACUUGGGAUGACUUUUUCCUCACUAGAGCUUCAAUAACCCUUAUCAUCCCAGGGUUUCUAAUCCUGCCAGUCUUGACAUCACUCUGAUAGGAACACACUGGCCGUGAACUCUUCCUGAAUCACCUUUAAGAGCCUUCCACUUACCAGGUAUCCCUUAGCUUGUGAACAGCCUGUCCCAUUCAGACUCUGAAUGCAAAAUGGGAUAUCAUUUAUGAAAAAGGAAAGUGGGAUAAUCUGAGGGGAAAUUUUCAGAUAUUUGUUGCAUUUUUUGCCAAAAUCCAAACAGAAGAUUGUUGGCAUUUGGCACACUUUGAGAGCAAAAUAAAUUGGUAUUAAUUUAUUUUUUAUUUGAUAAGUAUUCACUUUUACACUAACAAUACCCUAUGACAUUUUUCCUUGGUAUUAAAUGUUACAUUUUUUAGUGUUUAAACAUCUAUUUUUAAAUGUAAAACUAUUACCAAGAUGUUGCUUUUAGGCAAAGUUAUAGGACAUCGAGAUGUCAGGAGAUAUUUUCACUCACAGUGAAAAAAGGACUGCUUCUGACAUUCUAAAAGUUUGUUUGUUCUAAUAUUAAACAGUUGGAGUGACAGACUUACUGCCUUGAUUUUGGGCACAGGAUGACACUUUAUUGAUUUUUCCUUUGAAUUGUGCCACCUCCAAAUACGCUUAAAAUUUAUAACUUUCAAUUAGCAAAUAGCCUUAGAAUUUAAAUUGCUUGCCUCAAAACUGUGGCAAGAAAACAGGUGGUCUGAAUGGCACCUUGUGUUAGUAAUUACUAGUUUCACACCACUGUUGGGUUUUAUGUAUCUCCAUUAGCCCACAGGCCAAGCUUGAGCCAAGAAAUCUUUCAGUAACAUUUCCCUCUGCCUGAGGAGAAUGUUCUGUUCUGAUUCAGAGUGUAGCAUUGACCUAAACUUGCUUUUCCGGGUUUUCUACACAAACUGUAUUUAAACGUUAAUAUCCUGUACAGACCAGGACACUACAAAUGUGAAUUUAAGAGUUGAAUGUUAUUUGAAAAUCUUUGUGGGGAAAUGGGGUGGGGGUGGGAUAAAUAUGUAUCUUUUGUCACUCACACUAAAUUUUCAAUAUCGAUGGAGAUAGAUGCGUGAAAAUGAGCAGAACAGUAGCCAGUCCUCGUCGCUGCAUUUUGUGCUAGCAGCCAGACAUACAUUCUCCCCCUGAAUUUGAAAUAGAGACAGGAACUUAUUGACUAAGGUUUAAUAUUCCUUUUUCCUUUUCAGCUGAAGCAGCAUCAAUGUACUUUAUGAUGGCAGUGUAAACAGUAUUUUGAAAUGGGCGUUCCUUAUUUAAAUUAUUUGACUGGUUGCCAUGAAACAAGAAGCUAAAUUUACACAGUGCUCUUCCCAACGCGCUUCUCAGCACUGUGGUUCGAUAAAGAAUACAUGUAAUAUUAGGACAAAUUUCAUCAGAACAUCACAGAAGAGGGUGGUAGGGAGGAAGGAAAGAGUUUUAGGGAACAAAUUCCAGAGCUCCGGGCUUUGGCAGCUGUUGUCGUUAACGGAGUGAUUAAAUUUGGGAACUGAGGAUUUGUAUCCAGUUUGAAUAACUACAUUUGUCUACUGUUCCAGUUUGGCACAGGAAAUGGUUAUGAAACACUGUGUCCUUGCGCUGUCACAAGUGAGUUAAUGGUUAAUGUUGCCAUGCUGCUGUGCACAAAGCAAAGAAGUCCCAACAGCAAGUCCCUUCACUGAUCUAGAUAGCUGGUUAGUAGUUUUGGAUAUUAAUACCAGAAUACAUUAGGCGUGUUGUUCUGUAGUUUUUGAAGUAAAGUUUGUAAGGAGAUGCUGAGGGAGAUAAAGUUUUUUCCCCAAUAGUAGCACCUAACCUUUCAGCCUGCUCUCACAGCUUUCAGCAGGUCAUCGCUUCAAACCCCGCACUGGGGCCGGAAUGCAUAACCUUGGCUGAUGCGAAGGUGAACUGCUUUGUCUGAGAUGCAUGAAAUGGUUUUCUGUGCUGCGAGAUUAUUUACCACUUAACAUUUUAUAUAUUUAAAAACUAUUGGAGCAUCAUCAACACAUUAGAGAAUACUCCAGUGUGUGUCUGUCGCAGAAACACACUAACAUCUUGUGAUGAGUGACGGUGUGGAGGGACCACGGACCAGGACUGGAAGCAGAGCGGAAACAGAACAGUGUUGGGGAAGACAGCAUCAGAAGAUUGAAGCCUAAAAGCAUUCCAAAUGCAAUAUGUGGGAUUUGUCUAAAGGGUAGAGAAUCCAACAAGAAAAACAAACCUGAGGCACUCAUACACUGCUCCCAGUGCGACAACAGUGGACAUCCAUCCUGUCUGGAUAUG